rnacentral:rRNA from 1 species
GACGAACGCUGGCGGCGUGCUUAACACAUGCCAGUCGAACGGAAAGGCCCUGCUUUUGUGGGGUGCUCGAGUGGCGAACGGGUGAGUAACACGUGAGUAACCUGCCCUUGACUUUGGGAUAACUUCAGGAAACUGGGGCUAAUACCGGAUAGGAGCUCCUGCUGCAUGGUGGGGGUUGGAAAGUUUCGGCGGUUGGGGAUGGACUCGCGGCUUAUCGGCUUGUUGGUGGGGUAGUGGCUUACCAAGGCUUUGACGGGCAGCCGGCCUGAGAGGGUGACCGGCCACAUUGGGACUGAGAUACGGCCCAGACUCCUACGGGAGGCAGCAGUGGGGAAUAUUGCACAAUGGGCGGAAGCCUGAUGCAGCAACGCCGCGUGCGGGAUGACGGCCUUCGGGUUGUAAACCGCUUUCGCCUGUGACGAAGCGUGAGUGACGGUAAUGGGUAAAGAAGCACCGGCUAACUACGUG